rnacentral:tRNA from 2 species
UGGGGAUUAGUAUAGUGGUAAUACGUCAGAUUCUGGUUCUGAAAUCCGGGGUUCAAAUCCUCGAUCCCCAGCCA